GACGAACGCUGGCGGCGUGCUUCACACAUGCAAGUCGAACGAGUGGCGAACGGGUGAGUAAUACGUGAGUAACCUGCCCUCUUUUUUGGAUAAGCCUUGGAAACGGGUUCUAAUACCGGAUAAAGGGGGAUGGGGUCGCGGCCUAUCAGCUUGUUGGUGGGGUGAUGGCCUACCAAGGCGGUGACGGGUAGCCGGCCUAAGAGGGUGACCGGCCAGAUUUGGGCUGAGGUACGGCCCAGACUACUACGGGGGGCAGCAGUGGGGGAUAUUUCAAAAUGAGCGAAAGCCUGAUGCAGCGACGCCGCGUGGGGGAUGAAGGCUUUCGGGUUGUAAACAUCUUUCGAUAUCGAACGGGUGGGUGGAGAAGAAGCGCCGGAUAACUACGAGCAAGCAGCCGCGGUAAUAC
rnacentral:rRNA from 1 species